GAAAAAGGGGGGGCUGCAUUCGAUAAGGGGGGUUAAUUCUAGGGAAAAUUGGAAUUCCUGGGGUAGGGGUGAAAUGCGCAAAUAUCAUAGGAAAACCAGUGGCGAAAGCGGAUCUCUGGGCCCAUACUGACGCUGAGGAACUAAAGCGUGGGGGGCGAACAGGAUUAUAUACCCUGGUAGUCCACGCCGUACACGUUGGGCACUAGGUGUGGGCGGAAUUCCACCCCCUCUGUGCCGCCGCUAACGCAUUUAAUGCCCCCCCUGGGGAGUACGGCCGCAAAAAUUAAACUCAAAGGAAUUGACGGGGGCCCGCCCCAGCGGCGGAGCAUGUGGCUUAUUUCUUCUUAUCUCGAAGAAACUUACCAAGGCUUGACAUACACCGGAAAACUCUGGAGACAGGGUCCCCCUUUGUUUCGGUGUACAGGUGGUGGAUGGAUGUCGUCCUCUCGUGUCCUGAGCUGCUGGAUUUGAAUCCCUCGCGAGCGCAACCCUUAUCUUGUGUUGCUAGCCUGCCUUCCUGUUUGAUGGGGACUCACGUGAGACUGUCCGUGUCAACUCGGAGGAAAUGGAACAACCAAAGUUUCAUGUCUCUUAUCUCUUGUGCUGCCCCCUUGCUACAAUGGCCCCGUCCACUG
rnacentral:rRNA from 1 species